UCUUUCUCUCCUUAUCCCCCGAGCAUUUCGGUUCCUCGUGAUUCGACUUCUCUUUCUGUAGUUUUAGUAUAGUAAGGUGAGCGCUGAAGCGCUGCACGAAUCUUUCUUAGAAAGAUUCAGCGACGAAGUUCUGCUCCUACAGAGCCCGACUCCUAGCUAAAAUCCCCUUGUUUCGUCGAAGGAAAUUAUUUUAAAGUAAACGAAGCGCUGUCCGAGUACCGAGCCACCACCUUCUCAAGUGACGAAGUGAAGUGACAUUACACUGAGAGAUUUAAAAGAGAUGUAGAUCACUAGUGUAAAUCAUUGUAAGUCUGUUUAUGCUUAUGUUUCGGUAUUAACGAUGACAUCCCAAACAUUUUAAAAUGAAAUAAAUACGUUUCUUCGAAAAUGUUCUAAUAACGUAUUUACCAUGUUUUUCUGGGAACAAAUUCCGCAACCUUUUUGUAAAAUGAAGUACUCUGAUUUUUAUAAAGCAUAAACAAAAUCGGUCUUUUCUGGCCGUGAUUUUGGGGAUGUCACAAUAUAUAACAUAAAUAAAACUAUUUAAGGUCAACGUUGAAGAAAAAAGACUUCUAAAAUCAAAAGUGGACUAUCAAUUUGGGACGGAGGGAGUAUUAGUUUGACGUUUUUAAGAUAUUAAUUGUUUGUGAUUUAAGUUAAUUAUCUUAUUCAUUAUGGUUUCUUUUAUUAUUAAAGUAAUAUGUUUGAACUCUUAAAACCGUUUGAGCUCUAAACUGUGGUUAAAAACCACACAAAAUAACCGCACAAAAUCCAUGCGGUUAAUAACCGCAACACAGAAAAAACAAAACCGCACCGUAAAAAUAACUGUCUAACCGCACCGCAAAAAUAACCACACCAAACGGUUUUGAAAAUGGAUUAACCGCAUUUGCGGUUAGUGGUGAGGUUUUAGCUAAUAACCACACCGAACCACACCGCGCUCACCCCUAAUUUCGUGUUUAAUACUUUUGGUUCAUUGUGUCAGAUGUUGUGGAGCUCCUUAAUAAAAUCAAACGAGUCAUACAUAUUAAUAUUAUGACCCAAAAUCUAUGAAUGUAGUUUUUUUUUAAAUAGUUUGGUCAUCCAAAAAAAAGUUAGUAAUGAAGUUUGUGUCCGUUUACCCGUUACAUCUAUAAAAUUUUAUUAUAUGUUAAAGAAAAUAAAUAAAAAAACUAAAAAUGAGUUAACUUUUAUAAUUUUAGACA